rnacentral:lncRNA from 1 species
GUAGCAUUUUCUAUUAUUUCUAGGGUAGCUGAAAUAUUAACAAUUGCUUUUUCUAGCUCGCUUACCCCAAGAAAGGGAAUGAACCAUCUAACGAAACUAUGGAAACUAGUGGGUUUUUCCACUAAGGGGUUUAAUGCCCUCCCUACCCUCUUCCAGGGUGUACGGAGGUAUCCCGUUAGGGGAUUUGUCCAAUCAUGCAUAGAAAGGAUCGGUGCUAGGGCUCCUACAGUACAUGCACCACCCCAACUUUCCGGUAAAGUCUUUCUUGCAUAUCCAUCACCACACAACCACCAUAAGCCCUUUGGAGGGCACCCAAACCUCACGCUAUUGUUUAAUGCUAUUUGUAUAGCGAUAGGGCAAUUUCCUUUUGAUCCUGGACAAUGAGUAAUGUUUUUAGGAAGGUCUUUAAAGCUUCCUAAAUUUUUACUCCCGUUUUUAUUCAGCACUUCUGAUUCCCAUGGCCACUGUAUUUCAAACCUAGGAAAACUAUUUUCAUUACACAACUGUUCUGCUGAUGGUGGUGGGCUUGUAGAUGCAGGCAAAGGGUUUUCCGUACCCCAGGCCCACAUGCACCUACAGCCCAAUAUAUAUGAAAUCCUUGAGGACUUGUGGAGUGAUGAAAAUUAUCAAAUGGCCAACUCCAAUUUGAGAACGGAACUGGAAUUCCCAUUAGGGGAGUUUCCAUGCUACCACCCCUUGGCAUCAUCGUACAGACCCAACAAUCUGAUAGGUUGAAAUUAUGUGCUAUUGUUUGGGUAAUAUUAAUGUAGCUAUUUCCUUUCCAAGCGAAAGCAGGAUCUAAAGCAAAUACCAAAAGCAAGAGUAAAAGCGGCAACAGUGAAGGCAGAACUAACGUGAAGCGUCCAAGUGCCACAUUCGUCCACUUUUUGAGGAGCGGUUCCUUCUCUGUUCCUUCCUUGUCCGAUGUCUCCGGUUGUGGUCUCCAGGGCAUUCUCAGGAUUAGAUUCUGCAAACAAGAAGGCUCAUGAUCCAGUUAGUCCCUUGUCGAUAGCCAGCUUAACUUUUCGUGAUGGUACCCAGACAAUUUUCCCGGAAUCCUGACGCUUAACAGCCGCAUACCCUCUCCCCCAAACCAGAAUCAUCCAACCUGAUUCCCAUGAACCAUUCUCCGUUUUAAUUUUGACUGGGGGUCCCUCUUCUAGAAUCUUAGGCUGCCAAUGUUUCUGUAUCGGUGUUCAUCUAUUAUCACCACAUUCAAAAUGAUUCAAAGCAUACAGAGCUUUUGCUAAUAUCUCUGCCUGUCUACUGACAGGUAUUUUACCCCUGUAUCCUUCCCCCUCCCCAAGGACGUGUAUCUUUUCUUUGAGAAGGCGAUUAGCGCGCUCAACGAUCGCUUGUCCUUGGGAAUUGCCGGGGAUACCUGUAGUAUGAGAAAUUCCCCACAAUGCUAACCACUCUUGUGUCGAGUGUGAGGUGAAACAAGACCCAUUAUCAGUCUUAAUCUGACUAGGUAAACCCAUGACAGCAAUAGCAGCAGCCCAAUGACAUUGUGCUGCGGUCGAAUCAGCCUUUGCAUGCUGUGUGGCUACAAUGACAGUGGAAGAAGUAUCCACCGUGACAGCAAGCCAGGCGCGGGGGGACAAACGCGGUUCCCAGGUGAAGUCUGUUUGCCAAAUCUGUAAUGGUCCAAGGCCACGAGGGUUAACCCCAGCUCCUAUUACUGGUGCAGAAUUACAGUGAGGGCAUGCCUGAACAACAUCACGUGCAACAGACA